AACGAACGCUGGCGGCAUGCCUAACACAUGCAAGUCGAACGAGAUCUUCGGGUCUAGUGGCGCACGGGUGCGUAACGCGUGGGAAUCUGCCCUUUGGUUCGGAAUAACAGUUGGAAACGACUGCUAAUACCGGAUGAUGACGAAAGUCCAAAGAUUUAUCGCCAGAGGAUGAGCCCGCGUAGGAUUAGCUAGUUGGUGUGGUAAAGGCGCACCAAGGCGACGAUCCUUAGCUGGUCUGAGAGGAUGAUCAGCCACACCGGGACUGAGACACGGCCCAGACUCCUACGGGAGGCAGCAGUGGGGAAUAUUGGACAAUGGGCGAAAGCCUGAUCCAGCAAUGCCGCGUGAGUGAUGAAGGCCUUAGGGUCGUAAAGCUCUUUUACCCGGGAUGAUAAUGACAGUACCGGGAGAAUAAGCUCCGGCUAACUCCGUGCCAGCAGCCGCCGCGG
rnacentral:rRNA from 1 species